rnacentral:rRNA from 1 species
AACGAACGCUGGCGGCAUGCCUAACACAUGCAAGUCGAACGAGACCUUCGGGUCUAGUGGCGCAAGGGUGCGUAACGCGUGGGAACCUGCCCUUAGGUUCGGAAUAACUCCCCGAAAGGGGUGCUAAUACCGGAUAAUGUCUUCGGACCAAAGAUUUAUCGACUUUGGAUGGGCCCGCGUUGGAUUAGCUAGUUGGUAGGGUAAAAGCCUACCAAGGCGACGAUCCAUAGCUGGUCUGAGAGGAUGAUCAGCCACACUGGGACUGAGACACGGCCCAGACUCCUACGGGAGGCAGCAGUGGGGAAUAUUGGACAAUGGGCGGAAGCCUGAUCCAGCAAUGCCGCGUGAGUGAUGAAGGCCUUAGGGUUGUAAAGCUCUUUUACCCGGGAUGAUAAUGACAGUACCGGGAGAAUAAGCUCCGGCUAACUCCGUG